UACGUAGGGCGCGAGCGUUGUCCGGAAUUAUUGGGCGUAAAGAGCUCGUAGGCGGCCGGUUGCGUCUGCUGUGAAAUCCCGGGGCUUAACCCCGGGCGUGCAGUGGAUACGGGCCGGCUGGAGGCAGGCAGGGGAGAAUGGAAUUCCCGGUGUAGCGGUGAAAUGCGUAGAUAUCGGAAGGAACACCAGUGGCGAAAGCGGCUUCCUGGUCCAGCACCGACGUUCAGGCACGAAAGCGUGGGGAGCAAACAGG
rnacentral:rRNA from 1 species